rnacentral:rRNA from 1 species
GAUGAACGCUGGCGGUGUGCCUAAUACAUGCAAGUCGAACGGGCUCUUCGGAGCUAGUGGCGGACGGGUGAGUAACACGUUGGUACCUACCCUCUAGUGGGGAAUAACUGGCCGAAAGGUCGGCUAAUACCGCAUAAUACCGCAAGGUUAAAGCAGUAAUGCGCUAGAGGAGGGGCCUGCGUCCGAUUAGCUAGUUGGUAGUGUAAUGGACUACCAAGGCGACGAUCGGUAGCUGGAUCGAGAGGUUGACCAGCCACACUGGGGACUGAGAUACGGCCCAGACUCCUACGGGAGGCAGCAGUAAGGAAUCUUCCANAAUGGACGAAAGUCUGAUGGAGCAACACCGCGUGCAGGAUGACGGCC